rnacentral:rRNA from 1 species
AUUGAACGCUGGCGGCAUGCCUUACACAUGCAAGUCGAACGGCAGCACGGGAGCAAUCCUGGUGGCGAGUGGCGAACGGGUGAGUAAUAUAUCGGAACGUGCCCAGUAGUGGGGGAUAGCCCGGCGAAAGCCGGAUUAAUACCGCAUGAGACCUGAGGGUGAAAGCGGGGGAUCGCAAGACCUCGCGCUAUUGGAGCGGCCGAUAUCAGAUUAGCUAGUUGGUGGGGUAAAGGCCUACCAAGGCAACGAUCUGUAGUUGGUCUGAGAGGACGACCAGCCACACUGGGACUGAGACACGGCCCAAACUCCUACGGGAGGCAGCAGUGGGGAAUCUUGGACAAUGGGCGCAAGCCUGAUCCAGCAAUGCCGCGUGCAGGAAGAAGGCCUUCGGGUUGUAAACUGCUUUUGUCAGGGAAGAAAUCCCUUGGGAUAAUACCUCGGGGGGAUGACGGUGCCUGAAGAAUAAGCACCGGCUAACUACGUGCCAGCCGCCGCGGUAACAC